GAACUGAGAAAGGUUUUCGGGAUUAGCAUCACGUCGCCGUGUAGCUGCCUUCUGUACCCUCCAUUGUAACACGUGUGUAGCCCCGGACGUAAGGGCCGUGCUGAUUUGACGUCAUCCCCACCUUCCUCGCAUCUUACGAUGGCAGUCUCACCAGAGUCCUCAGCAUAACCUGUUAGUAACUGGCGACAAGGGUUGCGCUCGUUAUGGCACUUAAGCCGACACCUCACGGCACGAGCUGACGACAACCAUGCAGCACCUUCACAACUGCUAUUGCUAGCUAAACGAUCUCUCGCUUAUUCAGUUGCAAUUUAAGCCCGGGUAAGGUUCCUCGCGUAUCAUCGAAUUAAACCACAUGUUCCUCCGCUUGUGCGGGCCCCCGUCAAUUCCUUUGAGUUUCACCGUUGCCGGCGUACUCCCCAGGUGGGAUACUUAAUGCUUUCGCUUGGCCGCAGACUGUGUAUCGCCUACAGCGAGUAUCCAUAG
rnacentral:rRNA from 1 species